CUUGCUUCUCUUGAGAGCGGCGGACGGGUGAGUAAUGCCUAGGAAUCUGCCUGGUAGUGGGGGAUAACGUUCGGAAACGGACGCUAAUACCGCAUACGUCCUACGGGAGAAAGCAGGGGACCUUCGGGCCUUGCGCUAUCAGAUGAGCCUAGGUCGGAUUAGCUAGUUGGUGGGGUAAUGGCUCACCAAGGCGACGAUCCGUAACUGGUCUGAGAGGAUGAUCAGUCACACUGGAACUGAGACACGGUCCAGACUCCUACGGGAGGCAGCAGUGGGGAAUAUUGGACAAUGGGCGAAAGCCUGAUCCAGCCAUGCCGCGUGUGUGAAGAAGGUCUUCGGAUUGUAAAGCACUUUAAGUUGGGAGGAAGGGUUGUAGAUUAAUACUCUGCAAUUUUGACGUUACCGACAGAAUAAGCACCGGCUAACUCUGUGCCAGCAGCCGCGGUAAUACAGAGGGUGCAAGCGUUAAUCGGAAUUACUGGGCGUAAAGCGCGCGUAGGUGGUUUGUUAAGUUGGAUGUGAAAUCCCCGGGCUCAACCUGGGAACUGCAUUCAAAACUGACUGACUAGAGUAUGGUAGAGGGUGGUGGAAUUUCCUGUGUAGCGGUGAAAUGCGUAGAUAUAGGAAGGAACACCAGUGGCGAAGCGACCACCUGGACUAAUACUGACACUGAGGUGCGAAAGCGUGGGGAGCAAACAGGAUUAGAUACCCUGGUAGUCCACGCCGUAAACGAUGUCAACUA
rnacentral:rRNA from 1 species